rnacentral:rRNA from 1 species
UACGGUGGGGGGCACGCGUUGUUCGGAAUUACUGGGCGUAAAGGGCUCGUAGGCGGCCAACUAAGUCAGACGUAAAAUCCCUCGGCUUAACCGGGGAACUGCGUCUGAUACUGGUUGGCUUGAGUGUGGGAGAGGGAUGCGGAAUUCCAGGUGUAGCGGUGAAAUGCGUAGAUAUCUGGAGGAACACCGGUGGCGAAGGCGGCAUCCUGGACCAUUACUGACGCUGAGGAGCGAAAGCCAGGGGAGCAAACGGG